rnacentral:lncRNA from 1 species
ACAAAAACAAUAUUAGUAUAAUUCAGUUUUAAUAAUAUUUAGCACUUCUUUUUGACUAAGUUAGCAUAAACAUGUAACAUAGGAAAACAAGACAUUUUAGCCUGAAUAUAUGUGUCAAGUAAAACAGUAUGAAAGAAUGUAUUUGUUUGUCGUUUCCAACACAUUGGUUGCAUUUACCUUUGAACAGGUUUAUGCUGUUUCUGUGUUUUUCAUAAAGUCAAAGCGUUCAAAAGGGUGUUUUUGUGAGGUGUGAUGUUACUUGGCAGUAGAUAUUUUUGUAGGUUUAUUUGAAGUGAUGGUCAGUGCCAGCAAAUGAAGCCCAUGUACAAUAUUAACUGGCCUACCUGCACUGGAAGUCUCAUUUAGAGUUAUCUCCCUUGGUUAAGUAUCACUCAAGCUCCUUCUCAGCAUCUGACACCUUUGGUACACACCUGGUAACAUCGCUGCCAUCAGUGUGAAAGCAACCAUUACAAGAAUCUUGAAAUUUGUCCUCUAACCACAAAUGCAGCUGCAUUUAUAUUUUUUUUAUGUCUUUGCAAAAUCAUAGUGAAUUUUGAAAAGGUUUACAACUGACUAGAUUUCCCAAAUGAAUCUACCGCAACUUCCCACUUACAUUCUUACUAUACCAAUUACAUGAUAGUUGAAAUAUAAUAGAAUUUCAAAUUGUCAAACAAAGAACAAUUUAGAUGGGGUAACAUAUCCAGCAUCAUGGUAGUCAUCACUUGUUUGAAAACAUAAGGCAACAUUUUUUUAAUUACUUGGUUUACCAAUGCACCGCUCUUUCAAAGUUCAAAUGUUGAAAAAAAAUACAAAUACAAAUUAUUCCUUUUUUCAUAACCGCCAAUCUUUACUUUAAAAAAAUGAAUACAAAGUUCAAACAAAAAAAAGAUUUCAUUUCCUCUGCGAGUGUAAAGCAAAGGGAAGUCACUGUAAUAUUUCUCGCUGGGAUCCUUCUCUAAUACCAUCAAAGCUUGUCAGCGCAAAGUGCAGUGGUGACCAGUUUAACUCUUUCAGCCCUGUGGCCGGUACAAAAGACACCGCAGGCAGGUAGACCGCCCAAGUCAUGUCAAAAUAGUAUAAAAUUUUAUUAACUUAUCUGUCAUAUCAUUCAUUUAUAUAUCUUUCACAUUUUGCAAUGUCUGAAAUAUAUAUUUCAUUUCAAUUUAGAAUAAAAACUUAUUCACUAUUUUCCGCAAUGUUAUUAAAGAAAAAAAUUCUCAGACACACACUUCAACAACAGGGCCUCAUCGAACAUAUCAAACAGCAAAAUUAAGACGUUUCAAGCAAAUCUUUAAAUGUAUUAUACAAAGUAAUGAAUAACAUCAACAAAACUAUAUCUUAAGGUUGCCAAACUGACAUCUAAGUUAUUAUUUUCAUCUUUUCGUGCAAUCGCAUGUAAUGCAAGUCAAAUGAUAUGCAUAAGAAAUCUUUGUCCCAUCUCAUAACCUUGCACUAUAAAUCAAUCAAGUUCCAUAUUUUUAAUAUUUUAAUAUAGGUCAUGAUUUCCUGCUUAAAACGUUCAGAAUAACAUGAUUUAACCAAAACCUUCGUCAAAAUCUGAAAAUUAUUAUACACAAGUACAGUACCAUUGCUGUAAUUUGAUUAGCUGCCUCAGGUCACAUGUUUAAAUUAGACCAAUUACGAACCUUGUAGCAGAUUUCGGCAAGAAAGCGUCACUAGAAACCAAUUUUUAUCCAAUAUAAUCGCAUGGAGGAAAAGACUCCAGUGGAUGUUAACCGUAUUAUCAUUAUCUCGGUGAAACAAUAUGAGUUUUUUAAUGGAUAGUGACAUGGCAGACUUUGACGUACGUGUUAUUCAUACGAAGCUUCAAAAACGGAGGUAUUUCCUCAAUGUUAGUGAGAGGACAGCCACUAUUAUCGGGAAAUGGGUGAUGACAGAUGUUAUUUGCAACUCUUUUUAAAUGAUUUUCCGAUUACGUGAAAAAUGAAAAUAAAAGAGAAAUAGGUAAGUAGAUUUUAUGAAAUCUUAUUUUUUCCGUCAAUUGUGAAAUUUUUGGUUCCAUGGACCUUAAUCUGGGUUACAUUAUUUUAAUUUAAAAAGAACUUAAUUAAGUUGUAAAUGAACUAUUUAAAUAAUAUGCUACACAUAACUUUCAUAUUUAUAAACAAUAGGAUUAAUUAGACCUUUCAAAUGGUGUACAGCCAAACAUGUAGAUAGCAAAGAUAUUUUACAAGCAGAUAAUUUCCUUGAUAAAUGUUGGCUUCGUCUAUCAUACAAGAGUCUCUGUGAACUUGGAGUUACAGCAGAAAUCUUCUGGUUGGCUGGUGUUGAAAGAUAUAAUUGUCGCCCAUGCUGCCAAAAUAGAGGCGUCUUUCAUGCAUUUCCACCCAUGACAUGAAUAUUGUUAUAUUGCAAUUUGUGCAGAAGCUGAGUGCCAGGGAUAUAAUAAAAUGUUCUUGAAAGAUUGAGUUGAUUUACUUUUGUUACUCAAGAAUAUAUUUUGUUUUUAUACCUACCUAACCUUUUAGGACAAAAGUCAAGUAACAAAAAUCUGAGAGGCUUUUUCUUUUCUUUUCAAUUGGCCUACCCUACUUUUGAAAUGAAUUUGAAAUCCGUAAACCAAGAAAUAAAAACAUUGUCGCCUAAUGGUCAGUCGGUUGCAAGUUCAACUCCAAGCAUGGUUGUGGUCACAUAUCACAGUUGGGAGCUUUGACUGGUGGCAGCGAUAAGAUAAGCCAGCUCCACAAAUGGGCUAUUGCUAGGACAAGCUUGAGUAUCUUUGUUUGCACGCUUGCAGAGCUCCCUUUACUGUAUUGGGAGGAUCCCUUGACUGUAUUGGGAGGAUACCAAGCUAUCAUACACUGGGAAGGAGCUUGUGUAUCAAUGAACAGGACAGACUGCAACAUUAGAGAAGUUUUGUGAUGUACAUUUUCCUGAAGGCUGGCUGUAUAGGAGUGAGAUGAGAGUAAUUCGAGGCCUUUUAUGACCUCCUAAUCUUCUUAUCUACUUGCCCAGUGUGGGUAGAAUAUCUAUCUGAAAACACUGAAUUCCUGCCACCUGUCAACACUUUCAGGAUUCAAGAGCACAUGCCUCUUACAAGACAUUUGACAGUGACUUACGGUACUUCAAGGCAUUCGUGAGAGCAUUGACUUGGUGUUUCAAACAUAUUUUUACAUAAUUAUUCAUUGAUGUUGUGUGGGAUUUACUAUUUUCACAAAUCAGUUCUUUACAAACUGAUAGCUGCAUGGGUAAGCUUUGCGUUUCAAUUAGAAAAUCACCUGGUAACAGAAUGGAUAGUAAUGAUUGGUCCAGUGAUCCAUGUUUUGGGUGCAUGACCAUCUUCCACUGAUAUUGAUCCUGCACCAGCCCCUUGUACCUCCACCUCCACGACCAUUUCAUCAAAAUAACACCUCAUGUCUUAAUUUCAAGUUUGGCUAUUAUGCCAGAUAUCACAACCUUACUAAAGGGGGUCAUGUCCUUACAUAAUAACAAAGUUAAAAGCACUUCAAACUAAAUGAAAUCACUUUCUGUUUUGGGAAACAUGUCUUAAAUGCAAGACAACUUUAAAACAGAAAUCCUAUAAUGCCUAUGAAUACCAUAGCCAAUAAAUCCCAUAAUCAGAUUUUUAACAGACAUCCUCUUCAUUUCAACUAUCCAUAAUCAGUUGUGCAGAUAAUGGUAUCUAGCCCUUCAAAGCAUGUGCACGUCGGGAAAACCUGACUUCUUUCCUGUGUACAUGUGUGCUUUAGUUAACAGAUACAUAGUUCAUGGCCAAUUCAAGGGUCUUAAAAAAGGCGGGGUUCCUCUAAGGCUAUUUGUAACCUCAGUGAGGGAUGGGUCCCAGCCAAAAGCCUACCCCCAAAAUUACAAACACUACAUGUAAACCAUUAACAAUAAUUUUACUUUAACAACCACAUCAACAUGUUAUCAUGCUAGGAAAUGCACAUACAAAUGUCAUCAAAUGUAAAAAGGUGGGCUGGCCACCCCCAUAACACCCCUUUGGAUCUGCCACUGCAGUUAUCACAGCACAGUUAUUUUGGGCUUUUUCGCACUAUAAAAUCUAAAUUGUUAUAUACAUUAGAUUAGUAAUUAUGUUUCUAGUUUAAGAUUAACGAGGGUAUAUUAUCAGUGAAACUACAGAAGUUAGGUUUCUCAGGUUAGGCUGGGAGAGAUAAUGAGUGACUGAUUCCGACUGCACAUGGACUUGUUUGGGGAAUCUUUAAAGAGAGAACAACUCCAAGACUGCAAUCAUUUUGAGUUUCAACUCCAUCUAACCUUCACCUUAACCAAGGUCAAAACAAUCACCUGAAUAUGAAGUGAUUCAUAGCUGUUUUCUAUGUGAAAACAAAUUGCCAAAAAAUUGCCAACAAAUUAACAGCUGCUACAGUCCGAUUGUAAUCGUACAUACAGAAUUAGAUUGUGAAAUCAGAAAAGUCUUGAAUUUCCCAGGAUAAGUCUUACGAUUAUAUAAGGCAUUACAAAGGGUCAAAUAUAUGGUACGAUGAUCAAAUGAUGUGUCAGCCCUAGUUACGGGCCCUAUUUAACAACUCAGUGCACUAAACGAAUGUCAAUUAAUUAUCACAUGUGAAUAUCUACGAUGAGGUAUGGGGUCCAAUUUGAAUAGAGUAAUCGAUGUGAUGGAAACAGUUAGAAAAGUUGUUUUCUAAUAUGCAUCUUGUCCAAAAUUGAUAAGUAGAUAGGCGCAAGGAAGGUCAUAUUAAAGAGGCCUCAAAUGUUCCACAGCUCGCUCUUAUAGGCACAGUAGGUGUUCCAGAAUGUACUCUAGUGAGAAGCGACUGGAAGAUGGCCGUGUUUGUGGAAGUAACAAUACUGUGGAGCUCCUCAGAGUGGCCAUGGAGAGUAACAAAGAUGUCAAGCACUCGGAUGGAAUUUUAAGUAUAAACAGAACAAGGGAGGUAAUUCAAUAUCUAGGGCGAUCACCACUACAACACAACACCACUUGAAUUAUCAUGGGAGUAACUCCAUAGGCAAAAAGAAAUUGUCAUUUUAUGAACACCUCAACAAAUUUCUGUCAGCUACAUUCAUCAUUAAUACAGUUACAAUAUGCAAAAGCAAUAUUCACUGCCACACUGCACAGAUAAACUCAAUUAGAUAUGAGGAACUCAAGUAGGCGACACUCUCAAUUCAAUGGAUGGCUAACCAAAGCAAUUGAAUAUAGGGGCCAAAAUUGAAAAGAGGAAUUAUAUCUGUUUAUGAACAUGCAUGGGUCUCCUAUCAGUAGCCAAAAUGGCACCUCCCAAAUUCCAGGAAUGUUUUGAUCUGCAGUUUUUCCCUCUGUCAUGUGUGAAUGAUGAAGUCUAGCUAAUGUUAGAUGAUUUGAGAUAACUGAUAAUCGAUAAGAAAUAGGUAUAGUGCCAAAAAUGAAUCUGUCAAGAAUAACUUACCGGUACAUCCCUUGCUUGAAAGGAAUCUUUAAUAUCCCCAUCACCCAUCCAGUAGAGCUUAAAGAAGCAGCCACCCUCUGUAAAAUUGGAUCAAUUUGGUUUAAACAUCGUAUCUGUGCAUAGAAAACACUUGAUCACAUCCUACAAUGAAAUAUUUGUGUAUGAUGACCAAGUUUGUAUAUUUCCUAGUCAUUAUAACACAAUCUACAUGAAUGCUGUACAUCAUAGUCCAAGAAAAGAGCAGGACAAUUACCACCCAGACGCUGCCACCAGGAAAAUUGCCAUCCAGGAAAAUUGCCACCCAAACAAUUGCCAUCCAGGACAAUUGCCACCCAGACAAUUGUCAUACAGGACAAUUGCCACCUUGGAUAAUUGCUACCCGGACAAUUGCCAUCCAGGACGAUUGAUGACCAGACAACUGCCACCCAGACAAUUGCCAUCCAGGACAAAUGCCACCCAGAUAAUCACCAUCUAGGACAAUUGCCACCCAGACAAUUGCCAUCCAGGACAAUUGCCACCUAGGACAAUAAGCCAGUCUCCAGUUUUGCGAAAUAAGUCUGUUAGAGUGACAUCCCUUUGCAAAACCAUGUGACCACGGGCAAACCAUCAAACAAACUGCUGUCAAACUUUUGACAUGCUUGAGAACUAUACCGACCACUAUCUGAUGUUAACGGAAAGGGGAGCCGAAAAUGCCUUAACACAGAUGCAAGGGCCGCCAGGACAUUGAAAAUGUAUAUUUAACUCCUUUUCCGAAACUGUUUGAGGUGGUCAAGGGCCCGUGGUCGAGUGGGAAUUUAUGCCCAAAGCAUCACAUGGCAUAUCCGUAUUUGUUCAAAACACUUCGUAGGCCACCACUUCGUCAAAGGCAAGCAGAUCCCGGGGCCUCUGACACCCCAUGCAAGAAGAGAGUUGAAGGGAGUGAUGUCUCAACUACCAAAUAUGUCAGAAGAUCAUUGUUGGACCAAUGACACCUACUACACUGUCAAAUCUACAGCUGACGCCUCCACAGUUACUGGCUUGUAUUUUGAGAACAUCAGCACAUACACAGAUGACGCUGCAGAACCUCAAAACAGUUAUUAAAAAGUUAACUGUGGAUAACAUCAUCAGAAACAACAAAUCCGCAAGUUUUACAAAGCAAAAAUCCAGCAGAGGCCCUUCCAGAAUUCUGUCUCUGUAUGAGGAACUCAUCAUCACCCUCAUGCGACUACGACGUGCUAAUGAUGUGGAACAGCUAUCUGAUUUAUUUGGUGUUUCAAAUUCUCACAUUACUAGAAAACGCAGCACAUGGAUCAAUCUGCACCAUGUUUUACUUUUUUAUAGCCUGAAAUAUUGAAGAAAGUAAUUUAAAAAAAAUAAAAAAAUUGAUUUUGCUAAUAAUACAAUCAAAGAAAUGUUCACAAGAAGGCACAUUAAUAGCACAUAUACCUUUAUCUUGUGUAUAUUACCAAAUCACAGGACUGAAAUCCAUAUACCUAACUGGCCCUGAAUCUGGUAAUAAUAAUCACUAUCAUCUUUAAGAUACCAAUUACCAUCUUUCAGGUAACAUCUCCUACAUUUUGCAGCAAUUUUAGGAUCACAGUCUUUCAAAGCCCAUGGACAUAGAAUCUCUAGUUAUUUAUUAUGAUGAUUUUCUUUGCAAUUUCCACUGAAGUACCAAGGAAAGGAUGUCCUUUAUCAAUCAACAAACCUUUAAAUUUGCACAGACAGUUUUUUAUGUCUCCUUCUCUCAAUCUGUAUAUACAUUUCUCUGGCCUUACUUUCUUUUUUUCUAUCCCACACAAGAGAAAAUGGUACAUUGCAAUAUUCAAUGCAACCAGUAUAAAUACUGUCAUGGAGCAAACAUUGAACUAACUUUGAACAAUCAAUAUUACUGUUUUUUCAAAUGAGUCUGCCCUAGUGCACACACAUUUAAACUUGCAAAUUGUUACCAUGCCUUUUCUCAUAACUGACCAUGUAGGAUUCUCACUCUGCCCUGCAGUUUCAUGUUCAAUGUAAUUAAUGUCAUCAUUACAAUACUUCAGUUUAUCAACUACAUCCUUAGAUAAAACACUGUCCAGGGGCAAGUCAAAGGCCUCUAGUUUGUUGAUUAGGGACAUGGCAGCACAUUUCUCAUUCAUUUUUGUCCCUUGAGUCUCUCUGUCAGUUGGAUUAAGUAGGGUUUCCAAGGCACAGGCAUUAGGAUUUAUCUGCAAUUAUGAAAGUUUGUCAUAAGUUCUCUGCAAAAAAUAUAAAAUACAUCUGGGUAAUGAACAUAAAAAAAUGCAUAUUUUUUCAGAAUUACAAAUUAGAAAUGUUAUCCAAAAGGGAAUGUAUAUUGAUACUGAGUGUGUUAUUUUACCAGUAUCUGAUCAUAGAUUUCAUGAUGUUUGAAAGUGAGACAAUCUACAUAAAUUAUUUUUCCAAAACAUUAUAUGUGAAUACUUAACAUUGAUCAUGUCAAUGUUCACUAUGAUCACUGAUUAGUUACUGAUACAUGUUGUACACUGAAAUAGAAUAGGUGAUUCCCACCUGGUUCAGGGAGGCUGCAAAAUUAGCCAUCUGUUCCAGUGAUGGAUCUGAUCGGUCAUUUAUUGGGCGAGGAUCAAAAUUUUCCUGGCAGAGGUAACCAUUCAUGGCUUCAAGUGUUUGUCCAAAGCUGCAACACAUAUGAGAUGGGUUAUUUAGCAGCU